UUAGCUUUGAAGUCCUUUGUUCAGACCUAAUAUCACCCUGGGAUGCAGACACAUAAUCCACAUAGGAAACAGAAAUGUUCUGGAUGAAGCAGUGGGUGGACGCAGGGAAAGCAAAAACGCAGCUCUUUCCCAUGCUCCCAGUCCGUUCAUCUGUUUGUGCUUGAGUGACUUCCAGUGGACACCAACAACCUGAUCAUUCUUCUGUCACCCAUUUUGCAGAUUAGGAAACUAAGUCCUUGAGGGGAUAAGUAAAUUGCCUGAGUACACAUAGUGAGAUGCGGCAGAACAGAAACUCUCUUUCUGUUGUGGGUCAGACUACAGGCUUUAAGGGAAUGAGGUGAAGGCACUCGCUCUUGUCCUGAGACUGAUGGCUCAGUGGAAUAACGACUCAGACUCCAAGCUGGUUGUCCAUGCCCCUAAGCCUCCCCAGCCAAUCAGCUCAUUCCUUCAGUUCCGGGUAAUGGCUCAACUUUUUCCUUUCUGGGUUCCAAAUGAAAACCUCUCUCUGCAGUUCCUGGUAUCAUCUGAAAAGCAAAAAAUAAGGAUUUUCUUUCUUCUCAAUACCAUCUAGCACUUGAAGAAAAACUGCCAGCCAGCCAGAUGUUGAUUCUAUAACCAAAAGGAGCCACAUCCAGACCUGAUAAAGAGAUCAUUUGGUUACCACCCAGAAACCACAGACAUAAGAGUUUUAUGCCAUAAAACUGGAUAAGUUUAUUCUGUAAGACUGGAUAAGACUUUCGGUUGUUUCCAUAGGGACGCACACUGAGAGAGCUAAAUACCAAUGACCGUAAGUGGUAUCCUUAGUACUGCUCACAAAAUAUUUCUAAUUCUCUCAUACUCACUUACAUGGAGGAUUAUAAUGUCUUGGUCUCUUUUGCAUGGAUGGGCCAUGUGACUGGAUCUGACCAAUGAGUUUGAGCAGAAGCAACGUUUUACUUCCAGAUUGACUUCAAUAAAGGAAAACGCUCUGCCUCACAUGGUUUCUUCAGAAAAGCCCUGUGGAAUCUACCUGUUGAAAUAAGGACAUCUAGCUGCUUCUACAGCUUUAAUUACUAAAAAAAGAAAAGAUCCCAUGCAAUACUGAGAUAUGUUAUAUAUUUUUUUAAAUGACUGCUUCUUAUGAGAGAAGAUAAUGUUGCAUAACCAAGACCUGAAAUUCAAUUCUCAUCUAUGGUAACUCUGGCUGUUUCAAUUAUGUGAAAUCAUGUUCAUCAACAAUUUGACAGAGAAAAGCAAAAGAAAAUUAUUUCGUGUCUUCUAACAGCUGCAGAUUUGUGAGCAGAGAGCAAAUGACAGGAGUAUAUUUGGAUCAGAGUGUGAAGAUGUGCUUAAUUCCAUUCCAACACUCAUUCUCAGCCCCAUUUUUAACAUAUAAGAAUUCAUUCUCAUGUACACCAACCAGAUCCAGACUUCCAUGGGAUUUACUACCAUGAAAGAUGGUGGAGGUUAUUAUGACAUAAACCCUUACUCCAAAUAUCCAACCUACGAGAUAAGUUUCCUAAUUCAUACAACACUCUAUCCUGUUUCAAGCAUAAUUAAAAUAUCUUUCUUUAUUCCAAAAUCAAGAUAUUCCAUGGUGAUGAGAAUGAGAACCACCCAUUCUGGCUUGGAUGGUCUCCAUUUUAAAUGUUGUGUAGGAAGAUUAUCCAAGUAUAUACCUACUUGUCAGGUUGUACUUCAAUUUUUAAUUUUGAUCCCAUGGUCACCAUAGCUGUGGGUCAUAAACUGAUUUUAGUGAUGGUCCUGGCAAUAUCUUUCUCAGUUUAUAUUUACUCAAUAACAUAUAUCAAUUAGAAAUUUAUUCCGUCAGCCAAUAUUGUAAAUAUUUAUUGUGUGCUUAUUAGGUGUCAGGUUCUGUGCCAUGAUUUGGAGACACAAUGAAAAACAAAAUACAACAUCAACCCUCUAGAAAAGAGGUCAACUAACUUUUCUGCAAAGAGCCAAGUAGUAAAUCUUUUAGGCUUGUGGACCAUAUUGUUUCUAUCACAGCUAUGCAACUGUGCCAUUGUAACGGGAAAGUAGCCAUAGGAAUAUAAACAAAUGUGCCUGGUUAUGUCCCAAUAAAACUUUAUUUCAAAAAGCAGGUGGCAAGACUAGAUGUGGCCCAUCCAUCAUAGUUUUCCAACCCCUGCUGUAAUUGCCUAGAGUCUAGAGCAGUACCAUCUAAUAAGAACACAAUGCAAGGCAUAAAUGUGAGCCAUAGAUAUACUUUUAAACUUUCAGUUAGACACACUUUGAAAAGUAAAAAGCAAUGAGUGGGGUUAAUUUUAAUAAGAUGUUUUAUUUGACUGGGUAUAUCCCAAAUAUUAUCACGUAAACAAGUA